rnacentral:tRNA from 1 species
GGGAAUGUGGCUUAGUGGUAAAGUGCUUGCUUAGCAUGCAUGAAGCCCUGGGUUCAAUUUCUCAAUACCA